UGCGGGGUGGAGCAGUGGUAGCUCGUCGGGCUCAUAACCCGAAGGUCGCAGGUUCGAAUCCUGUCCCCGCUACUA
rnacentral:tRNA from 1 species